ensembl:lncRNA
AGAGAAGCAGGUUCUGUGGGUGCCCAGAGCCAUGGCAUUGCUGUUGCGUGUGCUCCAAAAGCAGAUCCAAGGCAGUUGUUGAAGGGGACAGGGUUGAAGGCAAAACCAGGCAUGAGGUCACCUUUGAUGCAGAAACCCAAGGACGCCUGCUGUUGGCCAGCACUUCUGUUUAGAGGCUGAAUUUCACAUUGCAGAAAGUUUGGACCUCAAGGUUCCCCUAACUGUAUCAGCACAGCUGUCACUUUAUUAGAAAAUCCCUUCAUGUAAUCCUCCUCUGCUUUGGACUCAUAUCCAAUUUAAUAAACACUCACUAGCAAGAAAGGAAGGUCUUGGACUGUAUAAGACUUCCUUGCACUUCAUUUACAUGCACUCAUUGGAAUUACCUCUGAAUGAUCACUCAAUAAAGUGCAAACCUGGAUGAACAACAAUUCCUGCAUUUACAAGGACCACCUCAUGCUGACAAUCUGUUGCCCGUGCUAAAACAGGGCAGGAACAAGAUGUUCUCUGCUCCACAGAACAAAUGUCUUGGAGAAACCACAUGGCUUCCACCAUAUACUUUUUGGAGAACUAAGCCAAAGGUAAAGUUUUCUUGGCCUGUGGUGCGAGCAGCCGGCAGGGAGCGAUGGGGUAAGAGGAAUACGUGUCCCAGUGAUGGGUCGAGGCCAAGCACUAAAGUGAUUAGAGCCAUCGCUUCUGCUCAGCGCUCCUGAGUGGCAACAAGUUACAAAAUCCAGAAAGUCCUGUCCUCCUCCUCUCCCUAAAGUCACAACAGCAACAGCAGACUGAACGUAGAGGUUCUUUGAAGAGACAGGAGUUGUGGAUUGCAGGCGAUGCUAUCAAGUGAAGACAGCUGGCUUGGGUGUAACGUGGAGCCUGCGUAACUGCUGACGUUUUGGAGUACUGUCAGUCUCUGUCAUCCCCUAUCACCUGGAAAAGCUCCUCCUGCAAUUCGGCUGUAGCUUGUGCCAAGCACUUUAUAGUCAUUACCAAAAUGAUGAUCUGUUGGCUUCGGUUUCCUCAUGUAAUGAAAUGCAAGGCGAAUAGUGGGGAGGAAACUCUUGUACAGCGUGAUGGGGUCGCCUGUGGUUGUGCUAUCAGCUGCAGAUCUGGGACCAGUCCUUGGGUCUAGAGGGUCCAACCAAGGCAGCUCAGUCCCUUUCCUAGCUUGAAAUGACUGCUUUCAACCCCAGUUUCCAGCUGGAAAAAAAAAAAACUUUCUGUUUCCAUCCUGGCGUGCUUCUUGGGAUGGUGGCAACCUUGCAGGGCUGAGGACAAUGCCCCGUGAAUGCAAAGUUUGUGUCAUUUACUGGCACAUUAAGCAGUUUUCCUGUUAAGGGGUUUGCUGUGUGAUCCAUGCAUUUCUGACUGAAUAUAGCCCAGGACACGGAGUAUAAGCAUUUCUACCCACAAACAUCUUCAGUCUCCGCUUAGAAAUGGGAACUAUUUAAAAACAGGCUGUGAAUACAGAUUCAGUGAUGUUGUAAUUACUGUACUAGAUGAGAUGGCUCAUUUUAGGAUGGGGAAAGUAGUAGUUACUAAUACAGCAUCUCGUAAGAGACUUUAAUUAAGUCAAGAGGCAAAAUAUAACAACAGUCUGCUUAUAGUAGGCAUACUGUAUCAAAGAUCCCCAGACUGAGGGGAGGAUUAAGCUGGUUUUGGUUCCCCCAUCAGCAUAAUUCUUGAUUUCAGCACUUGCCAAAAUAAAGCCUGC